rnacentral:lncRNA from 10 species
ACUUUAAAUUGGAUACAGUUAUUAGAGAAGAUUUGAGUUGUCAUCUUUGGGGAGAGGACACGAUGUUAUAUGAGAAGAAAAGUGAAAGAGGGUGUAAUUUUGCGUAGAAGCAGUUGUGAAGUCAGAAGUGACAUUUCCCCGUAGUCCUAAGUGGUGCUCUGAAACUUGUUCUCAUCGCUGGAUGUAAGAAAAAGUGAUUUUCCCUUUUCUACCCGAAGCAGCUAAGAGACUGCUGUGGUUUCUCAUGUUCUCUUUCUUCAUCGGCCAUCUAGGUGUUAAGUUCAUUGUAUGGUGACAUAAACAAGAAAUAAAC